rnacentral:sRNA from 1 species
UAGUUAUGUUCUGGAUGCCGGUGAUGG